rnacentral:misc_RNA from 1 species
AAGUCGUAACAAGGUUUCCGUAGGUUAAGUUCAGCCUACUACAGCAGCCUAUGUAACAAAUGCUAGUCUCCCCUGGAGGCGACACGCCCAAUGUGCGGAGAGGCCCCUGAAAAUGGGAGACCGCAGCCCGCCCUCCCUUGACCCGGGGUCGGCUCAGAGACUCAAUGAGCGUGGGUCUGGCUCUGGCCAGGCUUGACGAUAGAGCCCGUCCCAGCUGGCGAUCGCUGGGAGCAAACGGAACCUGCGGAAGGAUCAUUACAGAAUUAGGCCUCACGGCCCUAUUCACACCCCAAUGUUUACCAAACCAUGUUGCCUUGGCGGCUAGAGUGGGCCGAACAGGCCCCCACCGUCAAAGGACCCAAACAAAACCCCUUGCAUCUCUGCUGUCUGAGUAAUUAUUUUUAAUAAGUAAA